GCUUAACGCGAAGAACCUUACCAGGCCUUGACAUGCAGAGAACUUUCCAGAGAUGGAUUGGUGCCUUCGGGAACUCUGACACAGGUGCUGCAUGGCUGUUGUCAGCUCGUGUCGUGAGAUGUUGGGUUAAGUCCCGUAACGAGCGCAACCCUUGUCCUUAGUUACCAGCACGUCAUGGUGGGCACUCUAAGGAGACUGCCGGUGACAAACCGGAGGAAGGUGGGGAUGACGUCAAGUCAUCAUGGCCCUUACGGCCUGGGCUACACACGUGCUACAAUGGUCGGUACAGAGGGUUGCCAAGCCGCGAGGUGGAGCUAAUCUCACAAAACCGAUCGUAGUCCGGAUCGCAGUCUGCAACUCGACUGCGUGAAGUCGGAAUCGCUAGUAACCGCGAAUCAGAAUGUCGCGGUGAAUACGUUCCCGGGUCUUGUACACACCG
rnacentral:rRNA from 1 species